rnacentral:lncRNA from 1 species
GCAAAGUAGACUAGCAAACAUGCCCAACCUUUACUCACAUUCAAGAAAACACUCCCAACAAGAUUGCUUGCUCCAAAAUCGAAGAGGCACCGCCCUCCGAAUCUCGAGAGCCAGACUCCCAACAUGAUUACUUUCUCAAAAAUCGAAGAGACACCGCUAUCUGAAUCUCGAGAGCCAGACUCCCAGCAGGAUUGCUUUCUUAAAAAUCGAAGAGGCACCGUUCUUCGAAUCUCGAGAGUCAGAUCCUCGACAGGAUUGCUUGUUCGAAAACCGAAGAGGCACUGCUUUCUCAACUUCGAGAGCCAGAUCUCCUUGGAUAAAGCUUGUCUGUAAUCUUCACACGCAACAUCAGCUUUCCAGAUACCACAGACCACUUUUUCAAAGUGCUCUGACACACGUGAAGCUGGCAGCUCCCACUACCGUGCUAUGACCAAGCAGGGUAAAGGAAUAGCAUUACUACUUGUUGUUAGGGAGACUCCUAUAUAUGUCGACCUCCAUCCUCAACGGAUAGGCAGACCUGCAAAAAUACUCAACCCUUCCUCAUAUCUGAGAGGGCACUCCCAACGAAGCCUCUCGAAAUACUCAGCUUUCAUUCCCCCUGAUAAUACCUUUGCAAACAAGCUACACCAGAGCAAGAAUAUCUCAUAUCAUCAGGGUUAAAAACAAGAGUAUCCCAUAUCAUACUUUUUCCUUAUCUUUUCCUUUGACCUUGUUUUUACCUGCAAGACAAGGAGAAAGAUAACAAUCAGUCAGCACUUGGAAUCAAGCUUCCAGUCAGGAACUGACUGCCUGGAACCCCUUACCUGAUUACUUACCUGGCAUUGCUCUCGAGUACUCAUCUUCAACAUCUUAUGCUUCCAGAUAAGAUACCACAUCUGCCUGAGGAACAGAUAGGGAAAGUGAGAAGGAUACAAGGAAGCAUGUGGAGACAAGCGUAACAGAACACGUGCCGAUACAUCCACUACUUUGUCAACAGCAAAAGUAUCCCAUAUAAGCAGGGUCGAAUGUACUCUAGGUUUGAUGGACUUGUUUUGACCCCGCAAAUUCUUCAGUCGGCCUUAUACUCUGGAGGAAACCAGAAAACCCUCCAGCCCAGUUCAAGAAUAAGCCUGUGGAAAGUUACUUCUUCAAAAGCAAAAGUAUCUCAUAUCAUAUAUUCUCUUUUUUCUUCUCUUUAUCCUUCAUGCUGCCUGCAAGAUAGGGAGAAUGAGAACAAUCAGCCGAAACUCGAAAUUAAACUUCUGAUCUGGGACUGAUUGCUUAGAGCUCUGAUUGCUUACCUUGUCUGUCACCUCUUUCAGCAGAUCCCCUAGCUCGACGACUUGGGGGACUCCUACUACAUGGUUUGUAUUGUGCUUGACCAAGCAUGAAACUACAAGUAAGCUUCAAGUGAAAUUGAUACAUUACCUUGUGCAUCUCCACCAGUUAACGAUACCACCCCUGGAUGGAGGAAGAGUACUUCCAGAGAAGAUGUCACAUCUACCUAUGAGACAGAUAAGGCAAGUGAAGACGAUACCACACUUUGGUACUUAGAAGUUUCGUGAUUACGAGAUCAUUCUCCCACACUAUUUCCUAAUGUCAUUUGUACUAAAUCAUUCACUUGUACUCACUAAAGGAGAGCUUGAACCUAUGUAUUGUGUAAACCCUUCACAAUUAAUGAGAACUCCUCUACUCCGUGGACGUAGCCAAUCUGGGUGAACCACGUACAUCUUGUGUUUGCUUUCCUGUCUCUAUCCAUUUACAUACUUAACCACACUAAUGACCAGAGCAAUCUAGCAAAGAUCACAAACUUAUUACUUUCUGUUGUACCAAAGUCCUCACUGAUUUUGUGCAUCAACAAUCCUUAAGUCCUUACCUUUUUGCGUUGGUAAUGGAUGAGUUAACAGGACAUAUUCAAGAUGAUAUUCCUUGGUGUAUGCUUUUAGCAAACGAUAUAGUGUUGAUAGAUGAAACUCAUGAGGGGUAAAUGCGAAGCUUAACCUUUGGAGAGAAGUGUUGGAAUCUAAAGGUCUUUGCCUAAGCCGAUCAAAGACAGAAUAUAUGGAGUGUAAGUUCAGUGCAAAUGGAGGCCAAAAUGAGUUUGGGGUGAGGAUCGGAGAUCAGGAAAUACCAAAAAGCGACCGUUUUCGCUACUUAGAAUCUAUCUUGCAAAAGAACGGAGAAUUAGAUGGAGAUCUCAACCAUAGAAUACAAGCUAGAUGGAUGAAGUGGAAGAGUGCAUCCGGCAUGUUGUAUGACCGUCGUAGGCCACUGAAGCUCAAGGGAAAAUUUUAUAGGAUGAUAAUAAGGUCAGCGAUGCUGUAUGGCACAAAAUGUUGGGCGGUGAAGCAUCAACACGUACACAAAAUGGGUUUGGACAUGUGCAAAGAAGGCCUCAUGACGCUCUGGUUCGAAGAUCUGACUACGUGAUAGAGGUUCAAGGCCGAAGGGGUAGAGGAAGACCUAGGAAAACUUGGGAAGAGACCCUAAGAAAAGACUUAGAGUACUUGGAUCUAAUGGAGGACAUGACACAAAACCGAGCGCAAUGGCGUUCUAGGAUUCAUAUAGCCGACCCCACUUAGUGGGAAAAGGCUUUGUUGUUGUUGUUGAUGUUAAUGUUCCAUAUGUAUAUCAAAAAUGAGACAUUAUAUUUUUGUGGUGGCAUUUUAAACACAUCUAAUGCGUCUAUCACUUUCUCAAUUGGAGAAUAGAGAUGAUUUAGAGCGCACAAAUUAGUCUUUUUAGGGUUCUUGGUAAAGUUAAAACAUCGUUUUGGGCACAUUGCUUACAAAUUCAUGUGUUUUUUUUCUUUUGACAAAUCCAUGCACUUUGAGGGGUAUGCUCACAGACCCGUCUUUGACGGGAGCACCUGAUUUCGCUGGGUCCAAAUUUUUUGUUUUUACUUAAUAGAUACUAGCAUUUGCUUACACAUUUUUUUGGAAAAUGAGAAGGAGAGAGGGAGAGAGAGAAUGUGGGGAAGUGGGAGGUGUUUUCGGUUUUUUUUUUUUUUAAAUAUUGGAGGUAUUUUAAUAUCACAUGUAGGUGAGGUUUCAAUAAAAAACAGUAAAAUUUGGAUCUGUGAAAGUACAUUAUUGCCCACCAUUUUUUUUUUUGUGAUAGAAGACUAAGUUGUCUUUUCAUCCUCUUUUGAUUGACAAAGAGAUUUUAAUUAAUUAGUAGAGAUAUGAUAUUUAAUAUUUAAUAAAUGUAGAAAUAAUGACAAAGCAAUGUUUUUUUUUAAAACACUUAAGCUUUUUCCCCCAAGGUUCGUGUUUCAAAUCCCGUGUGUGAUAUUCUUUUAUGAAUUGUUUUUAAUUCAAUUUUUCUAUUUUGAAAAAAAGGAUCAUACCAUGUACAUUUAAGAGGGGCCGUGCAAUUUAAGAACCUGCUUUGCCGUCUUUAUUUUUUUUAAUCAAGACAAACUAAAACUACCCCUAACAACAAAAAGAAACGUAUUUCAAGUGUAUAGCAAGUAUGAACCAUAGCCUUCACCAUCAUUCCUCUGCAAAUCCUUUUAUCUCACUUCCUCUCUGUCUGUUUCUUUUUCAAAUUUCUAAGUAUCUUUAUACAGGUGAAGGGGUGAAUCAAAAUAUAUCAUUAGGUUUAGAAGAUUGCAACUCAAGGAAAGCCUAUAGAAGACUAUGAAUAUAAUCUUUUUUUUGUUUUAGUCUAGAUGUUCAUGAUAGAUGACAUGAUAAUAUAUUUAAGAAUUCAAAAAAGACAACUUACAUGGCCUUAGGCAAGCCAUUGUUGAGCGUCCGCAGUGAGGGGCUCUAUAUAAGGCUAGAAAAGUGGUGGAUAUAACUAAUUUUUGAGCUCCAAGGAAUCUUUGGGGUUUUAUAAAAGAAUCUCUUCUAAUGAGGAGCUAUAUCUUUCGGGCUCUAUAUAGGGCUAUAUAUAUUUAUUUAUGUAGUAAUUUGAUUAAGCGAUAAUUUAUUUUUGUGUGUUAGUUUUUCUUAAGUUGAUUUUUAGACGUGUUAUCUUAAUUUUUUUUUAUAUGAACCUUUCAACCUAAAAAGUUCAAAUUGUGACAAUGUUAGAUUUCAUCACUUAUCAAUCGUUUGUUGGAUUAGAUUCCCCUAUCUCAAUCUCAUCCGUUGAAAGAAGCAAACCCCCACUUUGCCCUCUGAAUAAUUUGACUUUCAUGUAUAACACAACAAUUUACCUAGCACCAAUUGAUAAAUUAGUAUCAUACAAUUUUAAAAAAAAAUUAUUUGAAAAUUUCACUCAUCAAUGCCCAUGAACGUUAAAUCAAUUUGAAAUUUUAAUUCUUAUGGAAUUUAAAACAAUCAUUAAUUAGCCAAAUUGCAAGAAAAAUAACUAAGAAAAAAGAAUUAAAAAUAAUAAAAGGAGAAUAUAAGUGUAUUCGUAGGUAGAGGGAGAGUGAUAGAAUUUUGCUCACAUGGAUUGCUACUUUUUUGUGGGCCCUUCAAUCUUCAAUGCAUAACAAUCAUAGAAUUUGUCUUUUGUGAAUGCUUGAAUAUCAUAUCAUCACUUAUGAACAUAUAAACUGGAACAAAAUAAUAAUAAUAAUAAUAACACCCAACAAAAUAUAUCCACAACCAUAAAAUAUAAAUUCAUAGUUUACCAAAUUAAAAAAAGAUUAAACUCAUAGAUUCCAUAUGCUUACAUUAUUUGCAAUCCUCUAAACCUAGUUAUAUAUUUUGAUUCGCCCCUUCAAUUGUAUAGAGAGGCUUAGGAUUUGAAAAAGAAAGAGACGAAGAGGAAGAAAGAAUAAAAGAAUUGCAGAGGAAUGAUGGUGAAGGCUAGGGUUCAUGCUUGCUAUGUAAAAAAAACAAGCCAAAGACAAUUACACGUAAAAUAUAUUCCUUUUUGUUGUUAGGGAUUAGUUUUAGUUUAUCUUGAUUUAAAAAAUGGGAACUUUAACGAAAAGCACCCGGUACUGUUCACUUUAAAGAAAAACCACAUUUUUACACUAAAAAGUCAAUCCUGGUACUAUUCACUUUACCCUUUAUUUUGUCCUUAUCAUUAAAACUCAAAGUUUUCAAGCUUUUUCAUUAGUUUUCCUUAAAAAAAAUCAGGCCGGCAAAGUAGAGUGCACAUUGGAGUAGGGGUGGAAAAAAUUCCCAAAAAUCUCGAACCAAACCGAAAAAAUCCCGAUCCCAAACCAAAAAUUUCCCAAACCGAAAUUCCCGAAAAUUUUGGGAUGCUAUCCAGAACCGAUCCCGAAAUUUGGGUACGGGAUUCAGGAUUGGCUUCUCGAUAUUUCGGGAAUCCCAUACCGAACCAAAAAUGUAUAAUAUUAAUUAUUAUUAUAUAUAUAUAUUUCUACAUAUAUAUUAUAUAUAUUAUUCUUUUAUAAUUGAUGCUAGUAGUUUCUAAUUCAUGCUCUGCAACCUGGAAUGCCCUACACCUUGCAUAUUUUUCAUGUUCUGUUUAAUAUUCAUUUGGAUUUUAUUAUUGCUGCUACCAUGGUUGAUGAUUUCAGAAUGCUUGAUUCUUUUGUCUCUUAAUAGAUUGCAAAAAGGGUUUAAUUAAUUUGAAUUUUGACUUUGAUAAAAAUAGUCAGGCAUGCCAGUGUUCGAUUAAAUGGUAGUGUGAAUGAAAUGACAUUCCUAGUUCUUGAAUUAUAUAUUUGAAGAACAAUUCAUAAUUUAAAAUUUAAAUUUGGGAUUCCCGAUUUGUCUCGAAAUCCCAAAAAUAUUUUGGGAUUCCCGAAAUUUGGGAUUCCCGAAAAUUUGGUUUGGGAAUGGUCUUCAAAUUCCCGUCCCGAAAAUUUUCGAUUUGGAAUUCGGGAUACUAGUUUCGGUAUGGUAUCCCAUACCGAACCACCCCUACACAGGAGUCAUAUGGACCAUUUUUCAAAACAGAAAAAUCAAAUUAAAAACAAUACAUAAAAACAGAGCGAUUCGCAAGUGAUUUCUAGGAUGUUACGUACCCAUUUUUUUUUAAUGGUAUUUCAUUGUGUCUCCACUAUACAACAUUUGAAACAUACUUAGGUUAGAAAACCUUAAUUUUGACGCAUAUGUGGAAUUUUUGGGUUAGGUCUUUGUUUCUAGUUAACUUUAAUUUAUUAUUCCGACAGUUUCUCUCUUUGGCUGGCUGGUUUUAUACGUAUAUUCUGGAGUCUGCACCAAGAAUUAGUCUACUAAUUUUGUUCCCGAUUUAUUUAUUUAUUUCUUCUUCUGGACCAUCAUCUCGAACCUUGCAAGACUUAGCCAUGCAUAGUCAAGGUCAUGAUCAUAUUACUAUUGAAGACCCAGCUCAAUCUCAAUUUGUGCAAUAAUUUAUCUCGCUAUUAGACCUAUAAAUAGCCCUCCAAAUACAAAGCUUUUGCAAUAUAUCCACAAUCUGCUUAAUCAUAAGUGCUUAAGUAGUUUACAAUGGCUUCAAAAUGUACUCUUUCUCUGUUCACAAUCACUUUUCUCUUUGUCCUCCUUUCUCUCUUCUCCCAUGCAACGUCGUCAGAAACCCACAACAAAAACACGUCGCCAUUCGAGUUUCUCAACCAUCUUAAGGGGUGUCACAAGGGCGACAAGGUCCAAGGCAUCCAAGACCUAAAGAAGUACCUUGAAAAAUUUGGAUACUUAAACGGCCAUUCCGAUAAUGAUGAUUUCGACGACAUCUUGGAGUCAGCGAUCAAAACUUACCAGCUCAACUACCACCUCAAAGCCACCGGAACAUUAGAUGCCAAAACCGUAUCAAAAAUGAUGAUGCCGCGAUGCGGUGUGCCAGACAUCAUCAAUGGCACCACCUCCAUGCGAUCGGGAAAGAAAAGACACCCUCACCACCACAGCGGACAUGGUUCGCCUCACACAGUUGCUCAUUAUUCUUUCUUCCCUGGAAACCCUAAAUGGCCUUCUUCUAAGUACCAUCUCACCUAUGCUUUUGAUCAAACCACCCCAACUGAGGCCCGGGACGCAGUUGCGCGCGCUUUUGCUGUUGAAUUAUAAGUCUCUAGCUGAUUAAGUAUUAGAAAUAAGAUGAGUUUUAAUGUGUGUAUUCAUUUGAGCAUAUAUGCCAAGUGUAAGGUUAAAUGAUGUAAGGCCAUGAGUGCCAUGUGGUGUUUGAUCCAUGUAAUUAGGUUGAUGAGUGACUAAGAUUAAAAGUAGUGUUUAGUGUGGUCCUAAAGCUAAGGCCAUCAGUUAAAUGUAAAGCAGUGUGAGUGCUCAUUUCUCUGUGUAGUACAAAAUAUUCCUCUGCAAUAUUUUUGCAGUAGAGAACAAGAAAGAAAAAAAAAAACUAUUUUUCGGUUCAUCUUCCAUCUUUGCUUUUGCUUCUGUUCAGUAUUCUAAAAAAAAAAUCCAGCUAAAUUAGAGUAACACUAACAUGGCCUCAGAGCCUUGUUUCGAUUAGAUCUGGGCGUGUUUCUGUGAGCUCAAACGUCACCGUCUCUGGACUUGGUGAAGUUUGCCGGAGCUUAUCUGUGAUCUAAGAACUACGUGUUUCUGGGUUCACACAAGCUCACGAUGGCUGGACCUGGGAGUGCUGAAGUGAGGACCCCGAUCUUUCUCCGGUGAGAACUACGAGUUCUGGAGAAUCAAAAUGGUUACCAUUUUCAAGUCGUAUGGACUGUGGAAUCUGGUGGAAAAAGGGAUUCCGGUUCCUGAUUCGAAGAAGAAGGAAGCUAAGACUGAUGAACAUACAGAGGUUGAUGUUGACGAUGAUGAGAAAAUGGCUGCAAUCUUCAUGAAAGAUGCAAAAGCUCUCGGAAUCAUUCAAAGCGCAGUCUCCGAUCAGAUUUUCCCUCGAAUCGCAAACGCAGACUCAGCAAAAAUGGCAUGGGAUCUGUUAUAUGGCGAAUAUCACGGUGGGGAUCAGGUAAGAUCUGUGAAACUCCAGAAUCUUAGACGAGAAUUUGAAUACACUAGAAUGCGUGAUGAUGAAUCUUUGACUGGGUAUCUUACUCGUUUAAAUGAUCUGAUUAAUCAAAUGAAGACGUUUGGUGAAACUAUGUCAAAUGAGAGAUUAGUUCAGAAGGUGUUAAUCAGUCUCACUAAGAUAUAUGAUCCUAUAUGCUUAGUGAUAGAAAACACUAAAUGUUUAGAAUCUGUUGAACUGCAAGAGGUAUUAGCUAUAUUGAAGAGUCAAGAGCAGAGGUUUGAUUUGCAUUCCUCAGAUGCAACUGAGAGAGCAUUUUCUUCUCUUACUGUUAGUUCAAAAGGGCAGAAUCGAAGUUAUGCUCAGUCUAGUACCUUUAAACCACAGAGAAAUUGGAAUCAAAAGGGCAAGAAAUGGGAGUCAAAACCAAAGUUUCAGCAAAAAUCAUACACACAAGUGUUGCACAGAAUAGUACUUCCUCACAGGGUAUGGGUCAAGAGAGUGUAAAACCUCAAUGUAAGGUGUGUUCAAAGUUUCAUUAUGGUGAAUGUAGGUAUAAGGGGAAAUCUAAGUGCUAUAACUGUGACAGAUUUGGGCACUGGGCAAAAGAAUGUACUGUUGGAAAGUCUGUUCAAAAGGCAAACUGUGCCAGUCAAAUGGAAGUAACAGGGAACUUGUUUUAUGCAAAUUGUGCAGUUGCUGAGACUAAGGUUAAUGGAGAUUGGUACAUAGAUAGCGGCUGCAGUAAUCAUAUGACAGGAAAUGUUGAUCUUCUUGUUGAUGUGAAUACGAAUGUUGCAGGGAAGGUUCAAAUGCCAACAGGAGGAUUAGUUAAUGUGGCAGGAAUUGGAUCACUGGAAAUUGAGACUAACAGAGGAAGAAAAUACAUUCGAGAAGUCAUGUACCUACCUGGCUUGAAAGAGAAUCUACUUAGUGUAGGACAAAUGGAUGAGCACGGAUACUAUCUUGUGUUUGGUGGAGGUAUGUGUACUGUCUUUGAUGGCCCUUCUCUGGAAUGUCAAAUUAUCAGUGUAAAGAUGAGAGGAAACAGAUGCUAUCCUCUAUCUCUAAGUUCUGAAAAGCAACUUGUGUUGAAGCUCAGUUUUGCUAACUGUGCCCGGACUUGGCACAGAAGACUUGGCCACCUAAACUUUGGUGGAAUCAAAAAAUUGAAGGAGAAAGAUAUGGUUCAUGGAUUACCAGAUCUAGAAGAGAAUGAUAGAGUCUGUGAAGGUUGUCAAUAUGGUAAACAGCACAGAGAAAGUUUCCCUAGUGGUCAAACACAAAGAGCUGGUGCUUCACUCGAAUUGAUCCAUGUUGAUCUAUGUGGACCAAUGAGAAAUGAAUCCACUGGAGGAAACAAAUACUUUAUGCUGCUUGUGGAUGAUGCAACACGAAUGAUCUGGGUAUACUUUCUUAAAUAUAAAUCUGAGGCCUUCUCCUGCUUUCAAGAAAUUCAAAGCAAUGACUGAGUUACAAACUGGUUUAAGGGUGAAAUGUCUGAGGAGUGACAGAGGAGGGGAGUUCUUGUCUACUGAGUUCAAUCAGUUCUGUGAUACAGAAGGCAUUCAAAGGCAACUUUCUCUUGCAUACACUCCACAGCAAAAUGGAGUGGUGGAAAGGAAAAACAGAACCGUGGUUGAAAUGGCUAAGUCUAUGCUACACGAUAAAGGAAUGCCCUAUUAUAUGUGGGCAGAAGCUGUGCAUACUGCUGUGUACAUUCUGAAUCGAUGUCCUACCAGGUCUCUUGAUAACAUAACCCCCUUUGAAGCUUACAGUGGAAGGAAACCGGGUAUUGCACAUUUGAAGAUUUUUGGCUCAGUUUGUUAUGUUCAUAUCCCAGCUGAAUUAAGGCACAAAUUAGAAGCUAAGAGUCUAAAGGGAGUUUUUAUUGGCUAUGCAAGGUGUGAGAAAGGUUAUAGGGUCUUUGAUCCAUUUUCUAAAAGGGUAAUACUGUCAAGAGACGUUGUGUUUGAUGAAGAUUCAAGUUGGAAUUGGCAGGAAAGCACAGAGAAACAUGUGUCUAUGUUCAAUUAUGAAGGGCAGUCUGGUGAGUCACCAAGCAGUGCAUUCACAGAGGUUGAGACCCCAACCUCUAAUACUUUGCCAUCUAGAAGUUUGACAGAAAUAACAAGUGAUACUGAUAAUGCACCGGUUACUCCUCAAGUCCAAUCUACUGAAUCCUCUAGUAGAUCUUGUGAAAGUACAAGAGAUUCACAAGUGAUUGAUCAUACUCCAUUAAAAUGGAGAAGGCUGGAUGAUGUACUUGCUAAAUGUAAUCUGUGCAUUAUGGAACCAGAGAGAUAUGAAGAUGCAAGUAAGGAUGAAUCUUGGAUGAAUGCUAUGAAGGAUGAGCUUUCAAUGAUUGAAAAAAAUGCAACCUGGGAGUUAGUGGACAGGCCAAGUAACAAGCCUAUAAUUGGAGUAAAAUGGGUGUUUAAAACCAAGCUCAACUUGGAUGGAACUGUGCAAAAGAACAAGGCAAGGCUUGUUGCAAAGGGAUAUGCCCAGAAACCAGGAAUAGAUUACAACGAGACCUUUGCUCCUGUUGCCCGUUUAGAUACAAUCAGAACUCUUAUAGCAUUGGCUGCACAAAAGUGUUGGAAACUCUAUCAACUUGAUGUCAAAUCGGCUUUUCUGAAUGGUGUUCUAGAGGAGGAGGUUUAUGUGGAGCAGCCUGAUGGUUUUGUAGCUAAAGGGGAGGAAGACAGGGUAUACAAACUUCACAAAGCCUUGUAUGGUCUAAAACAGGCACCACGGGCCUGGUAUGGAGAAAUAGAUACCUAUUUCUCACAAUGUGGUUUCACAAGAAGCUUAAGUGAACCAACACUGUACAUCAAGACAGAAGAGGAAGGCAUUUUGAUUGUGUCGAUCUAUGUGGAUGACAUAAUCUAUACUGGGAGCAACAAACAAAUGCUUGAAGAAUUCAAGGAAGACAUGAAACGAAAGUAUGAGAUGACUGAUUUGGGCCUUCUCUACAUCAUUUUCUUGAAAUGGGAAUAAUUCAGACCACUUCAAGCAUUUUCAUCCACCAAAAGAAAUAUGCAAGCUCUUUGUUAGACAAAUUUGGUCUAAAAGAGUGCAAACCUGUGCUUACUCCAUUAGUUGCAACUGAGAAGUUAACCACGAAUGAUGGAAGUGGUGCUGCAAGUGAAGAGUUAUACAGAAGUUUUGUGGGAAGUCUCUUAUAUCUCACUGCAACCAGGCCUGAUAUUAUGUAUGCAUCCAGUCUGUUAGCCAGAUUUAUGCACUGCCCUACCAGUAAGCAUGUUGGAACUGCUAAAAGAGUGCUAAGAUACAUUAAGGGUACACUUGAUUAUGGUCUGGAAUAUGUGAAGGGUAAGAACUCAAUGUUAAUUGGGUUCUGUGACAGUGACUGGAGUGGAUCAAUUGAGGACAGUAAAAGUACUUCUGGUUAUGCUUUCUCCUUUGGCAGUGGAGUAUUCUCUUGGGCAUCUGUGAAGCAAAAUUGCGUUGCUCUUUCCACUGCAGAAGCAGAGUACAUCAGUGCUUCAGAAGCAACUACUCAAGCCAUUUGGUUGAGAUUUGUGCUUGAAGACUUUGGUGAAUUUCAAACCGAAGCCACUCCAGUGCACUGUGACAACACCUCAGCAAUUGCAAUCACCAAGAACUCUGUGUUUCAUCAAAAGACCAAACACAUUAACAGAAGAUACCAUUUCAUCAAGGAUGCACUGAAGGAUGGUAUCAUUGAUCUGGUGUACUGUCCAACUAAUGAACAACUUGCUGAUAUCUUCACAAAACCUCUGCCUAAAGAUCGGUUUAAUUAUCUCAGGAACAUGCUAGGAGUGAAAUCAGCUCAAGACUUAAAGGGGAGUGUUGAAUUAUAAGUCUCUAGCUGAUUAAGUAUUAGAAAUAAGAUGAGUUUUAAUGUGUGUAUUCAUUUGAGCAUAUAUGCCAAGUGUAAGGUUAAAUGAUGUAAGGCCAUGAGUGCCAUGUGGUGUUUGAUCCAUGUAAUUAGGUUGAUGAGUGACUAAGAUUAAAAGUAGUGUUUAGUGUGGUCCUAAAGCUAAGGCCAUCAGUUAAAUGUAAAGCAGUGUGAGUGCUCAUUUCUCUGUGUAGUACAAAAUAUUCCUCUGCAAUAUUUUUGCAGUAGAGAACAAGAAAGAAAAAAAAAAACUAUUUUUCGGUUCAUCUUCCAUCUUUGCUUUUGCUUCUGUUCAGUAUUCUAAAAACAAAUCCAGCUAAAUUAGAGUAACACUAACAACAUGGGCAGGCAACACACACUUCUCGUUCAGUCAAUCCCAAACCUAUGAGAACGCGGAUCUGACAAUAAGUUUUGCUAGUGGUGAUCAUGGAGAUGGGAACCCAUUUGACGGCCGAGGCGGGACCCUUGCUCAUGCAUUUGCACCGACCAAUGGGAGAUUCCACUACGAUGCCGAUGAGCCGUGGGCUGUGGGAGCUGUGGAGGGUGCUUAUGACUUGGAGACUGUGGCAUUGCAUGAAAUCGGACAUCUGUUGGGGCUACGACAUAGCUCUGUUGAAGGAGCUGUGAUGUCCUCCACCGUUCGUACUGGAUUUGCUCAAAGUUUGCAUGCAGAUGAUAUUCAAGGAAUUAAAGCUUUAUAUAGUACUUGAUCUUCACAUGCAUAUUCACAUAAUCAAGAGUACUCAAAGAUUAAUCAUUAAAUUAAGUAGUAUUUAUUAUUGAAGUUCACCCUUUUUUUCAUCCCUUAAUCAAAUAAGGUACCUCAACUUGAGUGUAUUGAAAUUCUGCAAUAAUUAAUUAAAGUUGUAGCAGCAUACAUAUGCUGAAAAUAUGAUUUUUUUUUGGAGCUUUUGAAGCUUAUAGAAAUAUGGAUGUCUGGCCUUCUAUAUGUUGAACGUGUGUUAACUCUGAUGUUUUAGGAACAUGCACAUAUAAUGCAACUUUCAAUUUGUUUUGUAUUUACAGUCAAUUUGUUUUGUGUAAUUGUGUUUCUGCUAAAAUAUUUGAAAAUUUUAUGUAUUAUAUUCUUCUUUGUAUUGAGGCCAAUCCGCCAAUAUGUGUACAGAUUAAUUAUAAGGGAAGAAAACUACAAGAUUGUAAGAAAACCUUAUUACAAAUAGAUGAUAGAAUAGUAUUUUUGCUCUCCUCCUUCCUCUCCUUCCCAGUUGGAGUCUUCCAUCAAAACUUACCAGCUUAACUACAGCCUCAAUUCUACCGUAAAACUAGACGCGGAAACUGUACGGAAUAUGAUGAAGUCUUGAUACGGUGUUCCGGAUAUUGUCAACGGCACCACCUCUAUGCAAUCAGGAAAUAAACCUCACCAUAACGGUGGACAUGGUUUGACUAACACGGUUGAGCAUUAUUCUUUUUUGGAGUUUUAACGAAACACUUCCGGUACUGUUUACUUUUAUCGAAAAACCACAUUUUUACCUUUUCCUGAUAUUAUUCAUUAUAUCUUUAUUUGUCAUUUUUCAUUAAAAUUAAAAUUUGUUUGAACUUUUCGUUAGUUUUCUAUUUUUCAUAAACGUGCUCAUGGAGAUGGAUACCCAUUUGAUGGCCACCGUGGAGUCUUGGCCCAUUCUUUUGCACCUACUGAUGGGAGAUUUCACUUCGACGCGGAUGAACGGUGGGCUGUGGAUGUUGUGACGGGUGCUUAUGACUUGUAGUCUGUGGCUUGGCAUGAAAUUGGGCAUCUGCUUGGGCUUGGGCAUAGUUCUCUGUUCGAGGAGCUGUAAUGCUUCCCACCAUUAGCUCUGGCUUCACACGCCGGAGACUGACUAGGGAUGAUAUUAGUGGAAUCAAAGCUCUAUACAACAUUGGAUCGAUGAUGAUCACCACGUUCACUUAUUAGUAAGUUCAUCAAAAGCCGUGAACUUAUAAUAUUCAUAAUUUUCUGUAUCAAAUAAAUUUGUCAAAAUCCAUGAACUUAUAAUGUUUCUUAAUUUCUUGUAUCAAAUAAAUAUACCUAUUGUACGAAAAAAUUUAUCUUAUAACGGGUAAAAAUUCUCCUCUGAGCAUAUAACUGACGAUAAUUAAGAUUCUCCAAUCAAAUAAACUGUACCUAAAUGUUAUAAAAUAAUAAACAAAUAAAAGUUGUACCGGUAUGUAUAUGUUGGACAAAAUUACAAAGAGCUUUAUUUACAGAUUUCAUCUUCCAAGUCCAAAUCCUUCAUACUCGUGUAACACCUAGACAAAAUUACAUAAAACACAAAGCUCAAUGCACUUAGUGAGGCCAAAAAACCAGUAGUAUUUAUCAAGUCUAGCUUCAUUCAUGUAACUCCGCCUAUGUCUUACAUGGCCGGUCCCAAGCCCGGAUAAAGGAGGAGGGGGAGGGCGUCAGGUAGUCGACAGCCGGCACUCCAUGAUCACGUCGAAUCCUUAUGAAAAUGAAUCCAGAACAAAAUCGCGCUAAAGCUAGGGCGUCACCCGUAAGUGGCGCGCUGUGUGGCCCGAGCACAGUGAUAAGUGAGCAAGGGUCGCUGUAUCUCCAUCGGCACCCGGAUGCAGUGUUAAAUGAGCAAGGGGGCCAUAGAAACUUCUUUUCGAACGACUCCACUCAAAGUUGUUUGGGAGCAUAUGCUCCUAUCAACUUUACCCGGGACACACAAAAGAAGUACUUUGAUCCUAUUAGACGGGGGAGGGUGAAGAAUCUAGGACAGAAGGGUAGAGUUCAAGAGAGCAAAAUGCGUUUAGGAACGUGGAAUAUAGGAACCUUAACGGGAAAAUCUAUGGAAGUAGUGGAAGUUAUGGUGAGGAGAAGGAUAAAUAUUAUGUGCCUACAAGAAACUAAGUGGGUGGGUAGUAAGGCAAAGGAUCUAGAAAACUCAGGGUUUAAACUUUGGUAUUCGGGCACAAAUAGAACGAGAAACGGUGUUGGCAUCAUCGUGGAUAAGACCUUGGUACAAGAUGUUGUAGAUAUCAAGAGGGUAGGAGAUAGAAUCAUGGCAAUCAAGAUUGUAAUAGGACAAGAACUUAUCAAUGUGAUUAGUGCGUACGCACCUCAAGUAGGGUUGGAUACGAGUUCGAAGGAGAAAUUUUGGGAAGAUCUUGGAGACUUGGUGCAAGGAAUUGCUCAGACGGAGAAGUUAUUUUAUAGGAGGAGAUUUAAAUGGACACGUGGGCAGGGAGACAGGCAACUAUGGAGGUUUUCAUGGUGGCCAUGGUUUUGGGGAGAGAAACGAGGAUGGGGAAGCUAUCUUGGAUUUUGCAAUGGCAUAUGAUCUCUUCUUAGCCAACACCUUCUUUAAGAAGAGAGAAGAACAUGUGAUCACCUACAAGAGUGGGUCGUCAAAAACACAAAUAGAUUUUCUUCUAAUGAGGAAAGGGGAUCGUAUAACUUGUAAGGAUUGCAAAGUUAUACCAGGAGAGAGCGUGGCUAAUCAACAUCGCUUGUUGGUGAUGGAUGUACAUAUCAAAAGAGUAAGACAAAAAGAACAAGACUUGGAAGUGCCCAAGAACUAGAUGGUGGAAUCUAAAAGAAGAAAAACAAGCCAUUUUCAAAGAGAAGGUAAUCACCCAAUGUGUGUGGGAUAGAGAGGGGGAAGCUAGCCAAAUGUGGGAUUCCAUGGCUAGUUGUAUCCGAAAAGUAGCAAAAGAGGUAUUAGGAGAGUCCAAGGGCUUUGCCCCACACCAAAAGGAAUCUUGGUGGUGGAAUGAGGAGGUACAAACAAAGGUGAAGGCUAAGAAGGAAUGUUGUAAAGCCUUAUACAAGGAGAGGACCGAUGAAAAUGGUGAAAGGUAUAGAAAAGCGAAGCAAGAGGCGAAGAAAGCUGUCAGAGAAGCUAAGUUAGCGGCUUACGACGAUAUGUAUAAACGACUAGAUACCAAAGAAGGAGAGUUGGAUAUCUAUAAACUAGCUAGAGCAAGGGAAAAGAAGACAAGGGACCUAAACCAAGUGAGGUGCAUCAAGGAUGAGGAUGGAAAGGUUCUUGCUACAGAGAACGCGGUUAAAGACAGAUGGAGAGGUUAUUUUCAUAAUCUUUUCAAUGAAGGACAUGAAAGGAGUGCUUCUUUAGGGGAGUUGAGUAACUCAGAAGAGUGUAGAAAACUACCUUUUAUCGUCGAAUCCGGAAGGAAGAAGUGGUUGUAGCUUUGAAGAAGAUGAAGCAUAGAAAAGCAAUAGGCCCAGACGAUAUACCAAUCGAAGUGUGGAAAGUUUUGGGAGAGACAGGUAUAACAUGGCUCACUGACCUUUUCAAUAGGAUUUUGAAAACGAAGAAGAUGCCAAAUGAGUGGCGAACGAGCACUUUGGUGCCUAUCUACAAGAAUAAGGGCGACGUACAAAAUUGCAUGAACUAUAGGGGUAUUAAGCUAAUGAGUCAUACAAUGAAGCUCUGGGAGAGAGUCAUUGAGCAUAGAUUGAGGCAAGAGACACGGGUUUUCGGACAACCAAUUCGGGUUCAUGCCAGGGCGCUCAACCAUGGAGGCAAUCUAUCUCUUACGAAGAUUGAUGGAAAGAUAUAGAGAUGGGAAAAAGGAUUUACACAUGGUCUUUAUAGAUUUGGAAAAAGCGUAUGAUAGGGUCCCAAGAGACAUUCUUUGGAGGAUUUUAGAGAAGAAAGGAGUACGAGUAGCAUAUAUCCAAGCUAUAAAGGAUAUGUAUGAAGGAGCAAAGACUGCCGUAAGAACUCAUGAAGGACAAACCGAAAGCUUUCCCAUAACUGUAGGAUUACAUCAAGGCUCAUCCUUAAGUCCUUACCUUUUUGCGUUGGUAAUGGAUGAGUUAACAGGACAUAUUCAAGAUGAUAUUCCUUGGUGUAUGCUUUUCGCAGACGAUAUAGUGUUGAUAGAUGAAACUCAGGAAGGGGUAAAUGCAAAGCUUAACCUUUGGAGAGAAGCGUUGGAAUCUAAAGGUCUUCGCCUAAGCCGAUCAAAGACAGAAUAUAUGGAGUGCAAGUUCAGUGCAAAUGGAGGCCAAAACGAGUUAGGGGUGAGGAUCGGAGAUCAAGAAAUACCAAAGAGCGACCGUUUUCGUUACCUAGGAUCUAUCUUGCAAAAGAACGGAGAAUUAGAUGGAGAUCUCAACCAUAGAAUACAAGCUGGAUGGAUGAAGUGGAAGAGUGCAUCCGGCGUGUUGUGUGACCGCCGUAUGCCACUGAAGCUCAAGGGAAAAUUUUAUAGGACGGCAAUAAGGCCGGCGAUGCUGUAUGGCACAGAAUGUUGGGCGGUGAAACAUCAACACGUACACAAAAUGGGUGUAGCGGAGAUGAGGAUGCUUCGUUGGAUGUGUGGGCACACGAGAAAGGAUAAGAUUAGGAAUGAGGAUAUCCGGGGUAAAGUAGGAGUAGCCGAAAUUGAAGGAAAGAUGAGAGAAAAUCGGUUACGGUGGUUUGGACAUGUGCAAAGAAGGCCUACUGACGCUCCGAUUAGAAGAUGCGACUAUGGGACAGAGGUUCAGGGCCGAAGGGGUAGAGGAAGACCUAGGAAAACUUUGGAAGAGACUUUAAGAAAAGACUUAGAGUACUUGGAUCUAACGAAAGGACAUGACACAGGAUCGAGCACAAUGGCGUUCUAAGAUUCAUAUAGCCGAUCCCACUCAGUGACUUGGAUUUUCCAAGUCUCCAACCAAGAAGUUUUCCUCACUCGGGAAAUUAAGGGAACACUACCCCAACCUACAUGCUCCACUCAGAAAGCUUCAACAUACAAGCUUCAACAAAAGAAAAAUUCAAAGAACUUAGCGAAGAAGGCUUUGGUGUAUUUAACACAAUACGUUGAAAUGAAGGAAAGCUUAUUUAUUGAUAUCCCCGAUAAGCUACAAAUAUGUACAUAUACAUGAGUCAAAAUAAACACACAAGAGGGAGCCUUCACAAAGGUUGCUUAGGAGAAGUCUCAGCAGUCGGUAGAGCCCCAGAAAGAGAAGGCACCGGAGGGGGAUCAUUUGGAGCCUCAGUACUGGACAGAACCCUAGGAGGAGGAGGCAUCAGAGGUUGAUCAUUUGGAGCUUCAUUACGCGGUACAGUUCCAGAAGACGAAGGCAAUAAAUGCCUUUGGAACAAACCCACAAAUCUCUGAUGAUCAAGUAAAACCUGACCAUCAGUUUCCUUCAUCUGGUCAAGCUUCCUCUUCAUGUUUGUAGCAUAGUCAUGUGCGAGCCGGUGCAACUGUUUAUUCUCAUGCUUGAGCCCUCUAAUCUCCUGUUUGAGACUCAUCACUUCAGCCGCCAAUGAUUCAACUUGGCGGGUUCGAGCAAAUAGGCGUUGGGCCAUAUUAGACACAGAACCUGCACACUGAACACUGAGAGCCAGCGAAUCCUUAACAGCUAACUCAUCAGACCGUUUGGAAAGUAGUCUGUUAUCUUUGGGAGUGAGAAGGUUCCUGGCCACCACCGCAGCGGUCAUAUAUCAUUCUUCAUCACGGAAUCCCCAACGGUAAGAGGACCAGUUUGGGAGACGAAGGAUGGGCGCCAUAUGUUGUCUGGAGAAGGCGGGGCUGCCUCUUCAACAAGGUUCAAGUCAAAACGACGGUCGGAGGGGCCAGACAUUUUCAAAGGUGUUGAAGAGAGAAGAGGUCGGACAAAUCAAGAUAUUAGAAGUGCAAGAAUGAAGCUUCUACUGGUGGAGAUUCAAGUGUGCUUUGGAACUUAAUGCCAGCCUCUAUAAAAAUCUGCACUCGACGGAGCUUCAGAAAUCAAAGAGGCGCCUGCUCAGAAAUCGAAGAGGCGUUUGCUUUCUCAAAAGUUGGGCUGCUUAGAGAUCACGAGGGUUGAUCUCAGAAAUCGAAGAGCCGUUUGCUUUCUCAAAAGUUGGGCUGCUCAAAGACCACGAAGGCCGAUCUCAGAAAUCGAAGAGGCGCUCGCUUUCUCAAAAGCUGGGCUCCCUAGAGACCACGAGGGCCGAUCUCAGAAAUCGAAGAGGCACCUACUUUUCCAGCCUUGUCAGCACCUGUCACACGCACACUCAGCUUUGCGGAAAUUAUGGGCAUUCUGUCAAAGACUUCUGGGGAAGUAGAAAAACACAUGAAUCUUACUGUGUUCAAUCACCCCACUUCCCACACACGCAACAAUAGCUCAUGGGUACCACAGAUAACUUUUGCCAAAGUUCUCUGCCAAAGUUGAGCACGUGAAGCUUGCAGCUCCCACUACAUCGCUCUGACCAAGAAGGGUAAAAGAGAAUAGCAAAGAAACAGCACUAACAAAGUUUAGACCCAUAAAUUUUGAAGGUCUAGCUACCAUAUUAUUACCCACAAGGGUAAAGGAACAGUACCACUGCUGGAUAAUUGGAAAGUCCAUGUAUUGUCAACCUCUGUGUGCUUCGUGGCAAGGUAGACUAGCAAAUGACAUGCCCAACCACUUUACUCACAUUCGAGAAAAACACUCCCAAUAAGAUUGCUUGCUCCAAAAUCGAAGAGGCACCGUCCUCCGAAUCUAAAGAGCCAGACUCCUAACAUGACUACUUUCUUAAAAAUCGAAGAGCGGGUAAAGGAACAGUACCAUUGCUGGAUAAUUGGAAAGUCCCUGUGUGUGUCAACCUCUGUGCUUCGUGGCAAGGUAGACUAGCAAACAUGCCCAACCUUUACUCACUCACAUUCGAGAAAACACUCCCAACAAGAUUGCUUGCUCCAAAAUCGAAGAGGCACCACCCUCCGAAUCUCAAGAGCCACUCUCCCAACAUGAUUACUUUCUCAAAAAUCGAAAGAGACACUGCUCCCCGAAUCUCGAGAGCCAGACCCCCAGCAUGAUUGCUUUCUCAAAAAUCGGUGAGGUGAGGCACCGUUCUCUCGAAUCAAUCGAAGAGGCGCUCGCUUUCUCAAAAGCUGGG